rnacentral:rRNA from 1 species
GGAUUAGAUACCCUGGUAGUCCACGCCGUAAACGAUGCGCACUAGGUCGGGGAGGUUGACGCCCUCCCGGCCGAAGCAAAAGUGUUUAGUGCGCCGCCUGGGGAGUACGGUCGCAAGGCUAAAACUCAAAGGAAUUGACGGGGGCUCACACAAGCGGUGGAGCAUGUGGCUUAAUUCGAAGCAACGCGAAGAACCUUAUCCAGGGUUUGACAUCCCGGAUUAACCCAUCGAAAGAUGGGCUACGCCCUCUGGGUGGAACGGUGACAGGUGCUGCAUGGCUGUCGUCAGCUCGUGCCG